UCCCUCACAUCUGAGUAAAGCGAAAGUGAAAGAGAGGUUUAAAGCCUUAAGUGUAUUUGUGCUCGUCUGCUACCUUUCUGUCCUUCACGAGUUCGGAUUAAACACAUUUAUUCUGUUCAUUAGACACCACGAUCGACUCUUGAGAGAAAGAUUUAAUACCGGGAGCCUGUGCUGUGUGAAACCUGCAGACCGGUGAAGACCAGACCAACUAACUCCAUGUGUAUAUAGCAGAAGAUCUGUUUACUCGCCUCUGGAGCCAUUUUGCUUUUCCUCACUCGUCACUUGAAGAUUUUCUCUAAACAGACUUAUUUCUGUAUGAAGGGUUUCAGCUCUAAUGUUGACUCUUGCCUAAACAAAGAAAAAUAAACUGCUUUCCUCACUCAAUACUGCCUGGAAUUCUCUGAAUUUAACACAGCUAUUAACUUUCUAAGUCAGAGCAAGAGCAAUUAAUAUUUUUAACAUUUAUUUAUUUAUGUAUUGCUCCAUAUCAAGUUGAAAUGAAUGAUGUAUCAGUCCCAAACUCGUACGAUUGUCCUUCGUCUGUGGAUCAAGGAGGAUUUGUUGAAGAAUCAACACCACAAUACUCAAACAGACCACAGCUCUUUCCUGCCCACUUCAUGCCAGUUUAACAAACCUUGACCAAUAUCACUCACACCAGAGGUUUUCCCCAUGUCUGUCAGCGAUGGAGUCUGGUGAAGUGAAAUCUGUUGAUAUCUGCUCAGACUGACACCAUCAGAUGAGAUCAGACGUUGGACUGAAUCCAGCUGAACUCUGAACAGAUCUGAAUAAUGAUCUCACCGUCUCUACAGCACCAUCUGAACUGAAUCAGGGAUUCUCCUGUUCAUCAUCUCCAUCUCGACUCUAGAAAUAAAGCUGACUUGACUAUAUGCCAUUUCUGUUUAAACUAGAAUAGCAUGUGCUUAAAUAUCUCUAUAUUCCCACAUUUGCAAUUUACUACAUUUAGUAAAAUAUAUGUGGAUUUUAAAUGUAAUAUUGCAUAACAAACUAUAGUUGCAAUUAUAAUCAAGUGCUUUAUGAACACAUCAAAAUAAAGGUCUUCUUGAAAGCACGACACAAGUUUACUAAAACAUGAUUUUUAUUAAAAACUUUAAAAGUGCACAAUUUAAGUGUACAUGAGUGAACUUAAGUGGCCUUUUAUUUCAUUAAUAUGACAUUAUCUUAUACGUUUUUUUUUUAUGUAAUGCACUUUAAAGAUAUGAGGUUCAUUGCGAGUGCACAUUGUUUAGCACAAGGUGAGGCCGGAUCCAGUAUGUGUCAAUAACAUCCAGCCUCAUUGGUUCUUACAUGUCACAUGACUUACCAUAACUUCAGGAGAUUAAACCUCCAGUCACGAAUCACUUUACAAUAACCUUUGUGAGGACAUCAGAAAACACUGUGUAAAUAUCUUUUAACGCUUAUGUGUGUUCUGCAGGUGAUUUGGUGUGAGGCUGUGUACUUUGUUAUUUUGGGUGAACUGCCUCUUUAAAGAGACUUCUGUCUUAACGGUGAAAAGUGGCUUAAAGGGUUAAUUCUGCCUGAUUUAACACAUAAUAUUAAGUUUGCAUCAGGCUGAUUCAGCAGUGUUAAAUAAUAUAUAAACUAGUUCAUUUAGAUGUAACUAAUUAUAGGUUUUUUAGUUCUGACUUGAACUAGCUAUUUUUAUAACUUGGACUUUUAAAAUAU